CACAUUCAUAAAAUAUAGUGGUGAUCCUAACUGACCUAAAACAGGGAAUUUGUACUAGGAUUAAAUGUCAGAAAUUGUGAAAAACUGAGUUUAAAUGUAUUUUGCUAAGGUGUUUGUAAACUUCAGACUUCAACUGUACACGUACAAUACAGGGAACACGGUUUUGCCUUUUGCUACCUGUGUUUUUAGACUUGACAAUUUACAUUGUUAUUAUUGUUAUUGACUGAUGUACUGUAAUGUUGAGGAAGCUAACACCUCAGCAUUUCACUGCACCUUGUAUACCUGAUGUAAACUGUACUGUAAUGUUGAGGAAGCUAACACCUCAGCAUUUCACUGCACCUUGUAUACCUGAUGUAAACUGUACUGUAAUGUUGAGGAAGCUAACACCUCAGCAUUUCACUGCACCUUGUAUACCUGAUGUAAACUGUACUGUAAUGUUGAGGAAGCUAACACCUCAGCAUUUCACUGCACCUUGUAUACCUGAUGUAAACUGUACUGUAAUGUUGAGGAAGCUAACACCUCAGCAUUUCACUGCACCUUGUAUACCUGAUGUAAACUGUACUGUAAUGUUGAGGAAGCUAACACCUCAGCAUUUCACUGCACCUUGUAUACCUGCUGUAAACUGUACUGUAAUGUUGAGGAAGCUAACACCUCAGCAUUUCACUGCACCUUGUAUACCUGCUGUAAACUGUACUGUAAUGUUGAGGAAGCUAACACCUCAGCAUUUCACUGCACCUUGUAUACCUGCUGUAAACUGGUUAUGUGACUACUACAAUUGAUUUUAAUUUUAUUGGAGACCUCACCUGUGUUGAUUGGUGAUGAUGCAAUAAUGCAGCAGAAUGUCCACAUUGAUGAAAUGAGGGCGUCUGUCUGUCUGUCUGUCUGUCUGUCUGUCUGUCUGUCUGUCUGUCUGCAUUGUGUAUAAUGGUAGUCUUUGCUGUUACCGCUUCAGAGUGACUGCUCUGUGGUGACGCUUUCAAACCAACANNNNNNNNNNUGGUGUGUGGUUCCCACCGUGAAGCAUGGAGGAGGAGGUGUGAUGGUGUGUGGUUCCCACCGUGAAGCGUGGAGGAGGAGGUGUGAUGGUGUGUGGUUCCCACCGUGAAGCGUGGAGGAGGAGGUGUGAUGGUGUGUGGUUCCCACCGUGAAGCAUGGAGGAGGAGGUGUGAUGGUGUGUGGUUCCCACCGUGAAGCAUGGAGGAGGAGGUGUGAUGUUGUGGGGGUAUUUUGCUGGACACUGUCUGUGAUUUAUUUAGAAUUCAAGGCACACUUAACCAGCAUGGCUACCACAGCAUUCUGCAGCGAUACACCACCCCAUCUGGUUUGGGCUUAGUGGGACUAUCAUUUGUUUUUCAACAGCACAAUGACCCAAGACACACCUCCAGGCUGUGUAAGGGCUAUUUGACCAAGGAGAAUAAUGGAGUGCUGCAUCAGAUGACCUGGCAGCCACAAUCACUCGACCUCCAUCCAAUUGAGAUUAUUUUGGGUUGAGCUGGACCGCAGAGUGAAGUAAAAGCAGCCAACAAGUGCUCAGCAUACAGUAUGUGGGAACUCCUUCAAGACUGUUGGAAAAUAAUUCCUCAUGAAGCUGGAUGAGAGAACGGCAGGAGUGUGCAAACGCUGUCAUCAAGACAAAGGGUGGCUACUUUGAAUAAUCUAAAAUAUUUUGGGAUCAAAUCUCUCAGAUAUAGGAGAGAGAUUUCAGAACACAUUUCCAUUUGAUAUUUCUGGGACUAUCUGUUGUUCCUUGUAGUGAUUCUGUUAAUCAAUGCGUUUCUAUUGGCUAAUAGCAGUAAGGACUAUCUGUUAUUCAAUGCGUUUCUUUUGGCUAAUAGCAGUAUGGACAAAGAUGUUUUUUUUUUUUUCACUUCAAGUGGUCUUAAAAUUCUAAAUCCAAGAACUAAAUUAUCCUUGUUAUGGCCUUUUUAAAACAAUUCCAUAAAGCUUAGUAGAACCCCUUAGUAGAACCCCCUUAGUAGAACCCCUUAGUUGAACCCCUUAGCAGAACACCCUUAGUAGAACCCCCUUAGUAGAACCCCUUAGCAGAACACCCUUAGUAGAACUCCUUAGUAGAACCCCUUAGUAGAAUCCCUUAGCAGAACACCCUUAGUAGAACUCCUUAGUAGAACCCCUUAGUUGAACGCCUUAGUAGAACCCCCUUAGUAGAACCCCUUAGUAGAAGCCCUUAGUAGAACCCCCUUAGUAGAACCCCUUACUUUAAUAAAACAUAUGUUAAUAAGAACAACAACAACACCUGCAAAUAUUUCUUCACCUCCUCAUCAACACCUUCUAAUGUCAAAUAACAAGCACCCCCCUGCAGGGGCAUUGGAGUGCUCAUAGUAAAGGGAGAGGACUGAGAAGGAUACAUCAUAUAAUAAGAUAGGAUAGAAUAGAAUAGGAUAGAAUAGAAUGGGACAGUAUAGAAUAGAAUAGAAUAUAAUAUGAUAGAAUAGGGUAGAAUAGAAUAGGAUAGGAUAGGAUAGAAUAGAAUAGGACAGGAUAGGAUAGAAUAGAAUAGAAUAGGACAUGAUAGGAUAGAAUAGAAUAGAAUAGAAUAGAAUAGGAUAGAAUAGAAUGGGACAGGAUAGAAUAGGACAGGAUAGGAUAGGAUAGAAUAGAAUAGGAUAGAAUAGAAUAGGACAGGAUAGGAUAGAAUAGAAUAGGGUAGAAUAGAAUAGGACAGAAUAGGAUAGAAUAGAAUAGAAUAGAAUAGGAUAGAAUAGGGUAGAAUAGAAUAGGAUAGGAUAGGAUAGAAUAGGAUAGAAUAGAAUAUAAUAGGAUAGAAAAGGAUAGGAUAGGAUAGGAUAGGAUACAAUAGAAUAGGAUAGAAUAGCAUAUAAUAGAAUAGAGUAGAAUAGAAUUUGAUAGGAUAUAAUAGGAUAUUGUAGGAUAGAAUAGAAAAUGAUAAUAUAAUGGAAUAUGGAUAGAAUAUAUCCGUGCUGUAGCCUACAGCGUCUCAGAGUAAGGCACACAGGACAGAUAGGACAGGCUGUCCAUGCCUCAGAGUAAGGCACACAGGACAGAUAGGACAGGCUGUCCAUGCCUCAGAGUAAGGCACACAGGACAGAUAGGACAGACUGUCCGUGCCUCAGAGUAAGGCACACAGGACAGAUAGGACAGGCUGUCUGUGCCUCAGAGUAAGGCACACGGGACAGAUAGGACAGGCUGUCUGCGUCUCAGAGUAAGGCACACAGGACAGACAGCCUGCCUAUCUUCUGUAUCUAUCUAGUGGGAAUGUCAGAGGAUAAUUUUUUGUGUACGUGCACGGCACUCACCGACGCACACUAUCUUAGACUUUGAGAUAAGAGUGCCUGACUUCAUAUACCUAGAAUAAACUCCAAGCCUACCUCACACCUAUUAGUAAACGCAAUGUAUUUAGUGGAGACUACACACGCUGUAGUAAUAGACUAAGAAUGUGUAGAUCAAUCACUUUUGUAGUCUAGCUAAUGGAGACAUUUAAAAGUGUCCCGUAAGAGACAUAGUAGACACAUCAUUUCGCUACAGCAAUACAAACCGCAUUUCUCCAGACACGCAGGUCUCGCGUACCGUGCGUGAUCCGAUAGAGAGAGGACGCGCGUAGAGGGAUCGAGGGAAGAAGGAGAGAGGACGAGAGGACACCGAGAUCUUUCUACUUGUCUGAUGAACGAACCUAUUCGAAAAGUAUGCGAGGAACCGGCUAGAUUUAGACCACUCGUCACUCUACAGUUCGUAUGUUGUUGAGGGGAGGGUGGAAAAAAAAUAAUGAUCCUAUCCUAGACCUACACCAACGGAAAUCUGUAUCGCUGCGCUGGCAACUGUGGAAAACAGGACAGCGAGCAAGAGACUGAGAUAAACAACAUACAACAUAGGAAAGCAGCCAACUGCCUAAAACCAAAAUAAGCAACUUCUGGGAAGGAACCGGAGGCCAGCGCGGGAAGGACUCAUAACAGAUCGUUGGAAUAGCAUCUCGAAUAACGGUAUGGCGCUGCUGCUGUUGCUGUCUGAUACUGUCCGUGUGUGAGAAUGCUGUUUUCUGCAUAGAAAUGUAGCCUAUAUUUGGGCACCUUACAUUCUCCAGUUCGGCCGGUGUGAACACGUAUGUUGAUGCUAAAAGUAGCUUGUAUGUAUCUUCUCCUACGAUCACACAUAUGCGUCCCUUGGAUAUUGGAACUGUUGCGGCUAAACCUCAUUGAUUUAUUAUAGGAACUAUGCAGCCCACGUUUGCGCAGCGCCUCCAUAUGACGCCACACAUAUUUAGUAGGAGUGUUGGCUUGCAAACCGCGGUCUGUGUCUCCUGGCCUGUCUGUGUGUUACAGACACACAGACCAGACCUGUCUGCACUGAAUACAAUGAAUACAACGGCACACUUCUGUCUGUGAUGUCUCCCCACGCGAUGACGACUUCGGUAAAAGUCGAAACGUGGUUGAUUUUGGGUUGCAGAGAAAAUAGCACUGAGGAGCUGCAAUAUUCCCGUGCAGGCCUCUCCGUCAAUUGACACGUCACACA
rnacentral:lncRNA from 13 species